rnacentral:lncRNA from 1 species
AUGGGUCCUCAUUCUAGUGGGAGGCUCUUACAAAACCAAAACCAGACACGGGAGAUUCUUUUUCUUUUUUUGAGACAAGGUCUCAUGUAGAUGAAACCGGCCUCACUUUUUGGCUGAGGAAGAUCUUCGACUUCCAAUUCUCUCUCUGCCUUUACUCCUCAGUGCUGAGGUUACAGGCAUACGCCGUGACAUUUGGCAAUCACACAUUUGAGAGAGCCACCUGGGAUAUAUGAAACUCGAGGAAGGACUGCUUCGCUUUACUCUCAUGGUGAAUGACAGUGGAAUCCUGACCUGCCUCCAUCUCAUUUCUCAAGAGCUGGGAUCACAGGCUCGUGCCAUCACACCCAGCAUGAGAUGCCAUCUUUAUAAUUGGGUCCGUCUUCACGGCACAAGAGAGAAUGAAGCUGAUACUAGACUUCCCACCUCGAACCUCAUCCUCACAGCAAACUGCUAAGGAUUAACUGCAGAGGUCAACAUGAGGAAAUCAAGUUUCAGAGAGGCCGGACUUCAAGCCCACACAUUAUACAAGAACAUCUGGGCUCAGAAGCCAGAGCGACUUCUCAGAGACUGGCCACUGCCAGCUACCACCUUCUCAGGCUGAUUCCCACUUACAAGAUUUGCUAAGUCACCACCCACGCUCCAGGACACAAGCCUCGGGAUCCCUGAAUGGCGCGAGCACAGACUUUCCACUUCCUCAAGUCAUGUGAUUCACUUAAUGCUAAGGCUGUAAUCAGCAGCCCGCCUGCACGGGACAGCUCGUGGUGACCAAACAUGAGGUACAUUUUAGUAGCAACCCUGGGGCUCAGACUCUAACUCUGGCUGCUGGUCCUGGGGCUCCCGUUCUUUGCUUGUUCUUCUAGGAGUCAGACCGGCCUCACCUGCCUCAGUAGCACACUCUAGGGCUCCAUUAGUACUUGCCUCUCACCCAGAGGGUGCUCUGCUGCCUUAGCCAGAGCAGAGGUUACGUUACACGUUGAGAUGGCUGCCUUUUUAUCUCUUUGGCUAUCUCACGGCAGCAGAAAGCCGAGCAGGCAGGCACAGAGCAAUGUGGGGGUCCGGCAAGCUUGGCAGGCGUGUUACCCACACCCGUGCUGUGGGAGUCAGGCAAGCAGAUACUCACCACCUGACCAUCAGUCCGUGCUCCAUGAAGUUUUUCAGGUUAGGAAGAGUUUGCCUCAAGUCUGGAGUCCCCAGGCCAUGCUGGUAUCUCAGCUGCAACGAAAGAACGGAAUUGAAAGAUGUUUUGGCAGAUGCUAGGCAAUGCUCAGGACGGUGAACUCCUGAACGAGCAAACAUUUAAGUGUACAAAGGCCACACCAACUACAGCCGAGGCACAGCAUUUAAUGGCUCUUCUUUACCAUCACCUUACACCUUGAACUUGAAAACAAUAUGGCCAACCUUAGGCCUUCACCUACUCUUUUCCACUCCCAGAUCUUGGUAAGUGUUUCUAACACCAUAGACAUAACUCAUAGGAAAUCUUCUAUUUAAAUCAGAAAAAGAUUAAUUUAUUCUUAUUGUAUGUGUAUGACUAUAUUGCCUGCACAUAUAUAGGUGUGCCAUGCGUGGCCUGGGCCCACAGAAGCCAGAAGAAGGGUAUAGGAACUUUUGGAACUGCAGUUAGAGGGGGUUGUGAGCCACCAUGUGGGUGCUGGAAACUGAACCUGGGUCCUUGGCAAGAGCAGUAAGUACUCUUAACCAGAGAACCACCUUCCCACCCCUCUUACUUUUAAUUUUGUGUAAAGUGGUAUUUCUGUGUAUGUUUGCAUAAGUGUAGUUGGGAGAGGAUUUGGGUCCCUAGGAGCCACCCUACAUGGGUGCUGAGACUCACACCCUGGUCUUUGCAAGAGCACUGCUACUCCUGAGCACUGAACCAUUUUCUCUCCAGUCCCUCAAAAAAAAAAUCAAAUGACAGGUAUUAGUGUCGCUGUUGACGGGAGCCGCACUCUAGGUUUCUCUACAACGCUCACUGUGUUUUGUGUGUGAGCGUGAGCGAGGGGGGGGGCUCUUGAGGUUUUAUUGCUAGCAGCACAAAAAUAAAAGAAAGAAAAAGUGAAUUUAAGAGUUAGGUAAAACUUUACCAAAAGAUUAAUUUAAUCCAUGAUCAUCCAGCACUCAGUUGAUUUUCUGAGUAAUACUUAAAACAGUUUACUCUCUAGAACUGAGACUCUAAAGGAGACUCCUGUAACACAAGUGAGCGUCUAGGAUGUUCUGAGUGAAUACAUCCAUCAAAUAAGAAGGCAGAAACAUGCUGUUAGAACUAGAAGGUGCCCUGGCAAGGACUGAAGCCAGUGGGAAAUUCCCCAGGACUCAUCGGUGCACACAGAACCAGCGAGAGCCUGCUUUCCACAAGCUGUUCCUUCUAUUGUAUCCACUCCACUGACUGAAGAGAAAAUUGGUAACAGCACUCGGGAGGUCAGGGGAAAAAAUUCUCUUCCCUUCAAACCUAGCUUGGUGACCUAAAUCACCUCCUGAGAUUUGCUAGCCUUGAAUUAUAAGAUCUACUCCAUAUUAAAUGACAUCAUUCUUUGUAU